GACGAACGCUGGCGGCGUGCUUAACACAUGCAAGUCGAACGAUGAAGCCGGAGCUUGCUCUGGUGAAUUAGUGGCGAACGGGUGAGUAACACGUGAGUAACCUGCCCUUGACUCUGGGAUAACUGCGGGAAACUGUAGCUAAUACCGGAUACGACCCUCGGAGGCAUCUCCUGGGGGUGGAAAGAAUUUCGGUCAAGGAUGGACUCGCGGCCUAUCAGCUAGUUGGUGAGGUAAAGGAUCACCAAGGCGACGCCGGGUAGCUGGACUGAGAGGGUGAUCUGCCACACUGGCACUGCGACACGCCCCAGACACCGACGGGAUGCAGGAGUGGGCGAUGUUGCACAAUGGGCGAGAGCCUGAUGCAGCAGCGCCGCGUGAGGGAUGGCGGCCUUCGGGAUGUAACCCUCUUUUAGUAGCGAAGAAGCGAAAGUGACGGUACCUGCAGGAAAAGCACCGGCUCACUACGUGCCAGCAGCCGCAGUAA
rnacentral:rRNA from 1 species